rnacentral:rRNA from 1 species
CUCGUGCAGCAUCAGGCCCGCGCCCCGUAAAACGGGACGGCCCGCCAGAGGACCCAAACUCUAAUGUUUCUUAUUGUAACUUCUGAGUAAAACAAACAAAUAAAUCAAAACUUUCAACAACGGAUCUCUUGGUUCUGGCAUCGAUGAAGAACGCAGCAAAAUGCGAUAAGUAAUGUGAAUUGCAGAAUUCAGUGAAUCAUCGAAUCUUUGAACGCACAUUGCGCCCGCUGGUAUUCCGGCGGGCAUGCCUGUUCGAGCGUCAUUUCAACCCUCAAGCCCCCGGGUUUGGUGUUGGGGAUCGGCUCUGCCUCACGGCGGUGCCGCCCCCGAAAUACAUUGGCGGUCUCGCUGCAGCCUCCAUUGCGUAGUAGCUAACACCUCGCAACUGGAACGCGGCGGGGCAUGCGGUAAACCCCAACUUCUGAAUGUUGACCUCGGAUCAGGUAGGAAUACCCGCUGAACUUAAGCAUA